CCACAGAGCACUUAAUGUGCUCCUUUGUGCUGGAAGAGGUGGGAAUCUGGCAACUGACAGUGGUCAGUAUGCCGCCAUUCACCACCACAUGGAACACCUUGCCUCAUCUGCAGCCAAUGCAGACAUACAAGGUCGUGCUAAAAAGAUUAGGAAGGAAAUGCAUGAAGUUAACUUCUGUGCAUUUAGCCAUUUCCUGGCUGAUGUUUUUCAUGAGCUGGCCUCACUCAGCUGCAUCCUUCAGAGGAAUGAUCUCAUUCUACCUCAAGCAGUUUCAGAAAUUAGGAAGACAGUCAUGGUACUGCAGGCUAUGCAGGGAACCCCUAAGAGAGGUGGCAUGCUAUGCCAGUUUUUGGCUUCUCUUCCAGGACCGCAAAUGGAAGAAGUCACAUUUCAGGUUUGUUAGGGGUACAGAGGAUAGCAUACAUCUCAAUACAUUAGCGUAGCUGAGACUGCAUUUUGCUAAACAGUGAUUUACAACCAUAAAGUUGUAUUCUACAGCACCACAGUACACAAGCAAUGUCUCUUACAUUCUCUCUCUUCAUUCUUUGCUCCUAUCAGGGUGUGCCACUCUCUGGUGAUGUGACGGGUAACUUAGGCAAUCAGAAACUAAAAAAAAAACAUGACUGCUGGGAUUGCCAUCACUGUGGAAGCCCUGAAUACUCGCUUUGGUAGUCUGAUCAAUGCGGAAACCCAAGACUACUCUGUGGUAAAUUGUUUCACAAUUUUCAACCAUGACACAUGGCCUGAAAAUAGUGAUGAGCUCCUCAACUAUGGAUCUGACAAGGUGGAAGCCCUCGUGGAACACUUUAGUGAUGUGCUUACUAGGCAAGUUGUGAUCAUAUACGGUUUGAACAGUUUAUCAUUGUAUGAGAUAGAUCAGUAACUUUAUUCUCUCUUUAGCUUUGGAUGCCAGCUUGAAGCUAUACAAGAGGAAUGGCAGAGUGUUAAGACACUCAUAAGCCACACAUUUCAGGACAAGUCCUACAGCAGCUUAUGGCAAAUGCUUUUGACUAAAGAGCCAUAUAAAACAGACUACAAGAACCUCCUGCACCUAGUUGAGAUCCUAUUGAUUCUGCCCAUUUCUGCUGCGCAGUGUGAGCGCGGUUUCUCAGCACAAAAGCGCAUCAAGAGCAAGAGCUCUUUAAGAAGUAGUUUGCAUGUAUCUACUACUGAGGACCUGAUUCGGAUCAGCACAGAGGGACCCUCCCUGGAACGUUUUGAUCCUACAAAAUGUGCUGAAAAUUGGCUGUCUGCUGGAAAGAGGUCAAGGCGACCAGGCUACAAAGCUUGGCCAAGUGACUCAGACAUGAUCUUCAUUUCAGAUGAAAUGUGAAACAUGCAUAGGGCCUACAUACAAUAAUAAAUAUACAAUGAAAUCUACAUGACGUUUUGUUUGACAGUUUUGGUCUGAUGUUCUUAACCUUACAACAAGUAUUGUAAUGUGUUAUUGUUAAUAACAAUAAUAAUAAACUUAUACAACAAAA